CCCUUAGAUGUUCUGGGCCGCACGCGCGCUACAAUGAUGAAUUCAACGAGUUUAUAACCUUGGUUGAAAAGCCUGGGUAAUCUUUUGAACUUUCGUCGUGAUGGGGCUAGACCCUUGCAAUUAUUGGUCUCCAACGAGGAAUUCCUAGUAAACGCAAGUCAUCAGCUUGCAUUGAUUACGUCCCUGCCCUUUGUACACACCGCCCGUCGCUCCUACCGAUGAGUCGUCCGGUGAAGUUCGUAGACCUCGUGAUCGCGGAUCACUGGGGGAAGCAAAAUGAACCUCGCGGUUUAGAGGAAGGAGAAGUCGUAACA
rnacentral:rRNA from 1 species